GAUCUUGGCUCAGGACGAACGCUGGCGGCGUGCCUAACACAUGCAAGUCGAACGGAACUGUUUUGAAAGAUUUCUUCGGAAUGAAUUUGAUUUAGUUUAGUGGCGGACGGGUGAGUAACGCGUGAGUAACCUGCCUUCAAGAGGGGGGAUAACAUUCUGAAAAGAAUGCUAAUACCGCAUGAUAUAUCGGAACCACAUGGUUCUGAUAUCAAAGAUUUUAUCGCUUGAAGAUGGACUCGCGUCCGA
rnacentral:rRNA from 1 species